rnacentral:lncRNA from 1 species
AGCUGUUGGACCUCCACUGGAGAGUGGCAGAAAAGGCCAGCGAGAAGGCUGAGAAUAGGCGUUUCAAGAGGGAGAGCCGGGAGAGCGAGUGGAGUGUGGGUGACCAAGUCCUCUUGCUGUCUCUCCCCAGGAAUGGCAGCAGUGCCAAAUGGAUGGGUCCUUUCUAUAUUGGGGACCGCUUGAGCCUAUCGCUCUAUAGGGUGUGGGGCUUCCCAGUCCCAGACAAGCUGGGCUGUGUCUAUCCUAGCAGUCUAAUGAAGGCCUUUCCCAAGAAUGACACACCCCUGCCCCUUGACUUGGAGCAGUGAGUUAGAAUGGUCGGGGAGCUGCCUGUUCUAGGGGGUCCCGCAUUUCUGCUGCUAGUCCUCCCUUCUGAUCUGAGCAGUGCUCUCAGCUCUGUGGGGCCCCUUAGUUGUGCCUUUUGUGGAGAAGGUCCUUAGUAAAGCUUUGCUGAAUUGCCUUGACCUAGGGAAGAAUGUCCCUAGAAGACAUCCCCCGGUAGGGGUGUUUGGAGAAUGUGCCAAAGGUUGUCCUAUGUGGGCUCUGGAAGUUUUACACUUGGGAGCAAACGAGUUUCCUCAACAAGGUAGGCCAGGCUCACAGUCCUCCCCAAGUGCCGCCUUUUCCCUUUUUACACACUCAGGUGUGUAUUGGUGUGCACACCCCUCCCCAGUGUCUUAUACCCAACAUACACUUAACAGUGUGGAUUUGGACCUGCCAGUGGGUAGGUAUCACGGCUUUCUCUCGUGGGAGUGCCUCCCCUUACACCGUGCAUUUGUUUGCCCUUGGAGUUCUCGGUGGCACAGGCACACCGGCAGCAAGAAGGUAGCUGUUCUCCAGUCAGCCUCCCUUGCCAGCACCGGGACAGCUGUUAAGGAAGGGUUGGAGCCUUUCUGUGCCUCCAGGAUGGUGGCUCUGGGUGGGGGUUGAUCAGCCAUAAGUCACCUACCUGUUCCUAAGGGGAGGUGGAAGGGGAUGAAUUGGCCUACCUCAUUUGAUUCCAGUCAGCAGAUGAUUCCCGACCCCUGCUGUGAUGGCAGUCACUUCACAGGAAUCAAGGGCCUUGAUACCAAACCUGGCAUCUGUGCUGGAAGAGCUGCUUCUGUUAGGUUCGGUGGUGCUCACAACUCUGGCUCAAGGGGAGGGCAUCUGACGUGGGUAGUUUGACACAUGGCUGGGCGCCGGGUGGCUUUUUCCUCUUGCACCUAUGACUCCUCUCACCCCCUGCCAAAGCUCACAACCCUCUCCUGCCUGCAGUGUACCCAUCUCCUUAGAUGGGACUGCUUUGUCCUGAUCAGCUGCAGUGCCCAGAAUCUGCCUCUGUGUAGAGCUCGCUUACAGCCAGUGUGUAGAGCGAGCUCUCUCAGCAGGAGUGAGGGCUGAGAUUCUCACUACCCUGCAUUCCUACACAGCCAAGCUGACAGGCUGGAGAGAAAGGCCAGCACCAGGCCACUCUGGCUUGGAGUCCUAGUAGCUCAUUUCUUGAGGAGCCAAUCUGGUUUUCCAGCUGAGCUCAGGUUGCCAGAAUGCUGGGCCCUGAGGAGAAGUCACAUUGAGCCCGGCUUUCACAGCAGAGAAAAGAGGGAAAUGACUUGCCCACAGUCAUACAGCUGAGUUGUGGCUGAGCUGGGACCCGGAUAAACCGUCCUGACUUCAAGUUCAGCACGAUGGGUUCUAGCGACAUGUUUAAGCAUAGGAAUCCUUUUGGAUUUUGUACCUCUGUUUCCUUUGAUGCCAUUCCCUAACCCUUCUAGAUAACUACCUGGAUGCUGCUCUUCAGCCAAUCCAGCUGUCAGCCCUGCCCAGGAACGAGUGCUGGGUGCUCCCGGGAUGCUGAAAGGUUAGCUGUAGAAUUUUUACCAGGUACCGUUAUUUCUUCACACUGCCUCACCUUUGUCUCUCCCCCACCCCUUCGUAUUGUAGUCAGCCUCACCCUCCCACCCCAGGGCUGUAUUCCAACCCCUCUUCCUGUUAAGUACAAUUUCCAUCAUACGCUCUUUCAAGUGAUUUUUAUUUUAUUUUUCAAUAAAUCAAUUUAAAAAUGG